rnacentral:rRNA from 1 species
UACGUAGGGUGCAAGCGUUGUCCGGAAUUAUUGGGCGUAAAGAGCUCGUAGGCGGUUUGUUGCGUCGGCUGUGAAAUCCCGAGGCUCAACCUCGGGUCUGCAGUCGAUACGAGCAAACUAGAGUGUUGCAGGGGAGACUGGAAUUCCUGGUGUAGCGGUGAAAUGCGCAGAUAUCUGGAGGAACACCGGUGGCGAAGGCGGCAUCCUGGACCAACACUGACGCUGAGGAGCGAAAGCCAGGGGAGCAAACGGG